GGGCCCGUAGCUCAGUUGGUAGAGCACCAGACUCUUAAUCUGGGUGUCGCGGGUUCGAAGAGCGUUUGACGCAGGUUUAACCUGCGUCUAUUCGAAAUUCCCGUCGGGCCCA
rnacentral:tRNA from 1 species